UGAGCAAUCUGCCCUUCUCAUCGGAAUAAGCGUUGGAAACGACGUCUAAUGCCGAAUACGACCUCCUUUCCCAUGAUCGGAGGUGGAAAGCUCCGGCGGAGAAGGAUGAGCUCGCGGCCUAUCAGCUAGUCGGUGUGGGUAAUGGCCCACCAAGGCGACGACGGGUAGCCGGCCUGAGAGGGCGACCGGCCACACUGGGACUGAGACACGGCCCAGACUCCGUACGGGGAGGCAGGCG
rnacentral:rRNA from 1 species